ACGCUGGCGGCAGGCUUAACACAUGCAAGUCGAACGCCCCGCAAGGGGAGUGGCGGACGGGUGAGUAACGCGUGGGAACAUACCCUUUUCUAGGGAUUACCUUGGGGAACCUGGAAUUAUUACCGAUUACGCCUUCCGGGGGAAAGAUUUAUCGGGGAAGGAUUGGCCCGCGUUGGAUUAGCUAGUUGGUGGGGUAAAGGCCUACCAAGGCGACGAUCCAUAGCUGGUCUGAGAGGAUGAUCAGCCACAUUGGGACUGAGACACGGCCCAAACUCCUACGGGAGGCAGCAGUGGGGAAUAUUGGACAAUGGGCGCAAGCCUGAUCCAGCCAUGCCGCGUGAGUGAUGAAGGCCUUAGGGUUGUAAAGCUCUUUCACCGAUGAAGAUAAUGACGGUAGUCGGAGAAGAAGCCCCGGCUAACUUCGUG
rnacentral:rRNA from 1 species